UACGAAGGGAGCUAGCGUUGUUCGGAAUUACUGGGCGUAAAGGGCGCGUAGGCGGCUUGGCAAGUUGGAUGUGAAAGCCCAGGGCUCAACCCUGGAAUUGCAUUCAAGACUGUCUUGCUUGAAUUCGGUAGAGGUUGGUGGAAUUCCCAGUGUAGAGGUGAAAUUCGUAGAGAUUGGGAAGAACACCCGUGGCGAAGGCGGCCAACUGGACCGACAUUGACGCUGAGGCGCGAAAGCGUGGGGAUCAAACAGG
rnacentral:rRNA from 1 species